UUCCGGUUGAUCCUGCCGGAGGUCACUGCUAUUGGGAUUCGGCUAAGCCAUGCAAGCGGAGGGCGCGGUCGAAAGAUCGUGGCCCCACACACUGCUCAGUAACACGUAGUCAACCUACCCUUGGGACGGGGACAACCUCGGGAAACUGAGGCUAAUCCCCGAUAGGUGAGGGACGCUGGAAUGCCUCCUCGCCCAAAGCUCCGGCGCCCAAGGAUGGGACUGCGGUCUAUCAGGCUGUUGGUGGUGUAACGGACCACCAAACCUACGACGGGUACGGGCGAUGGGAGUCGGAGCCCGGAGAUGGGGACUGAGACAAGGCCCCAGGCCCUACGGGGCGCAGCAGGCGCGAAAACUCCGCAAUGCGCGCAAGCGUGACGGGGGAAUCCCAAGUGCCGUUGGUCUUAUGAUCGACGGUUUUUAGGAAGUCUAAGAAGCUUCCAGAAUAAGGGCUGGGCAAGACCGGUGCCAGCCGCCGCGGUAACACCGGCAGCCCAAGUGAUGUCCGUUUUUAUUGGGCUUAAAGCGUUCGUAGCCGGCCUGUCAAGUCCCCGGUCAAAUCCGACGGCUCAACCGUCGGUUAUCUGGGGAUACUGGCAGGCUUGAGGCCGGGAGAGGUCAGAGGUACUCCUGGGGUAGGGGUAAAAUCCGAUAAUCCUGGGGGGGACCACCAGUGGCGAAGGCGUCUGACUGGAACGGGCCUGACGGUGAGGGACGAAACCCUGGGUAGCGAUCCGGAUUAGAUACCCGGGUAGUCCAGGGCGUAAACGAUGUGGGCUGGGUGUGGGCUAAUCAGAAUGAUUAGUCUGUGCCGAAGCGAAAGCGAUAAGCUCACCGUCUGGGGAGUACGGUCGCAAGGCUGAAACUUAAGAAUUGGCGGGGGGGCACACAAGGG
rnacentral:rRNA from 1 species